GGGCCCGCACAAGCGGUGGAGUAUGUGGUUUAAUUCGAUGCAACGCGAAGAACCUUACCAGGGUUUGACAUCCUGCGAAUCUCUUGGAAACGGGAGAGUGCCUUCGGGAACGCAGUGACAGGUGGUGCAUGGCUGUCGUCAGCUCGUGUCGUGAGAUGUUGGGUUAAGUCCCGCAACGAGCGCAACCCACGUCUUUAGUUGCCAGCAUUUAGUUGGGCACUCUAGAGAGACUGCCGGUGAUAAACCGGAGGAAGGUGUGGAUGACGUCAAGUCAUCAUGCCCCUUACAUCCUGGGCUACACACGUACUACAAUGCUACGGACAAAGGGCAGCAAGUUCGCGAGGACAAGCAAAUCCCAUAAAGCCAGUCUCAGUUCGGAUUGGAGUCUGCAACUCGACUCCAUGAAGCUGGAGUUGCUAGUAAUCCC
rnacentral:rRNA from 1 species